AGUAGAUAUCAAUCAAAAUUCACUUAAGUUAAAUAUUAAUGACAAUUGUAUAAUUUAAUAAGAAUAGUAGAUUGAAAUACAAAUAUUUUGAAACUUAAGAAUUAGAAAUAUUGUCUCAUCAAAUUUUGGGUGGUAAAUGGGAUUAAAUUUAAAUCAAACCGAUCUAAGCUGGAUUUGAAUAAAAUUAAACUCAAAUAUGGCUCCUUUGAGAGGGGUCAAAUUUGAGUAGUUCAAUAGUUCAAACAUCAUAGAUUCGGUACUUUUUUUUGGACUCCAGGAAGCAACAUAUGCCCUUUGACUGAAGCUGACAAUCGGUUACCAUCUCGUAGAACUGAUGUAAAUUUCUCUACAAAUUCUUCUGUCCUGGGGAAGGAUUUGAUUUGUUGGAGUGACUCAACAUUUGAGGUUUGGGGAACAAAAGGAUACAAUUUACACUUAAGGGGGAGGAAUAGAGUUUUGCCGGGCUAUCCUCUUAUCUUAUCGAUUUGGGGAGAGGUAUGAAUUCAACUAUGGACACUCCAAAAUCAAGGCGUCCUCGGUACACAGAUUAGUAAGGGUGAUUACUUGGGCAGUAGAUACUUGGGUAUAUUCUACAAAGGCGAGGUAAGAAACAUUAAUUCGGUUAGGCACAUUCUUUUCUUUUCCCCAUAAAAGUGAAGGUUCUCUAAAGGACAAUGAGCUGAUAGCUGCCUUUUCUGAACUGUGAAUAUGCCGCUUGAUAUGUCUGUACUUGUCCCUAGUCAUCGACUCGUACCUCUACUAGUGGCAAUUACUGGCCUUUUGGUGUUUUUGAGCUUCUGGAGAAUCCGACAAAGGCAAUGGAGGAGGAAAGGAUCUGUCUCCAGUCGUUUGGUUAAUCCAUAGCCAAGAUGGUUUUUUUUUUUUCAAUAGAGCCACUUCCCGACGUUACAUGUCUUUCUGAAUUUUGUCUUUGGCAUUAUUACAAGGAAGUUUUGUAUUCAUACUAUAGGUUUGUUGUAUUCAUUUUGGUUAGGAUGUUUGUCAUAGCACAAAUUUUACAGAUUAAUGAUAGGAUUUUUGAGAUUUCA